CCUUAUACCAUUGGCAAGUAGAAAUCACACAUUAAUGUAACACAAUGUAAUAAGGAUCUCAUGAGUAUGAUAAUGCUACACGUAGUUUGAAAUGACCGUCAAAUUUAUAUGUAACUCUAUGUUUCCUAGUCGUUGAUAAUUGCGGUAAAUUUUUAGUUAUUUGUGGUGAUUUCAGUUUGUAUAAGACAUAAUCUGUCAGUUAGAUGUGCAGUUAUUGUGAAUUUGGAACUUGAACCAUAACAUUGACAAUUAUUCAAAGUACCGUUGAAAUAAAAAAAAAGUGAAAGUGGUAAAAUACUUAAACAAUCUUUAAAGAAAUAGCCAAAAGUACAGCUUUAAAACGUUGUCAUCAUCAUAGUUUUGUAUUGUUUGGUUUUUUUUUAUAUUUCACAACCUGUUUCACUUUUAAAAGUUGUUAAACCGAUUAUAAUUUCUAACAUUUGUAAUUUCAUAUUGCUCCUUAUUCAUUUUUUUAUCUAUUUUUGGUUUGUUUUCUGUUUCAAAGUCUUUGAUACUUUUUUCAUACGUUUACAUCUAGAAAAAAAAUACUGAAUAAUAACCCCUAUCUUUUUUUAUAAAUAAAAUAAAAAUUUGCCGAAACUUAAAUCAUCAGACCUACUUUGAAAUAAAAGUUUCUUAAAAUAGAACAAAAAUGACGAAUAAAAAAAAACUGCCUUUUGACUAUAACAAUUUAUAUUGUACUAACUAGUGCGAAAACCCGUACCAAAACUGUUAAGCUGUAAAUAAGCUUGCCGUCUGACCCGUGUGACCAUAACACAACCAUAACACAUCGGUGAAAUUCGUUAUUCAUUCGGUAAUUUGAUCGAAUGUUUCCGAUUCCCCUUUGUCACCAUUUGUUAAUUGUUAAAACAUGUGGGUUUAGAAAUUGUUAGAAGACAAGAAUAUGCACGAUGCUUGUUGAUAAAUGGUUACUACAACAUAUAAUAAAUUAAUGAUUGGCAACUGAGGUAAAAAGGCUAUGAAGCGUGUAUGGCACAUUGAAUAAGGGAGCAACCAUUUGAUGAGAAAAAGCGCAUAAAUGAUAGAAUGCUUAAAAAAAAAUGACAAAAUAAAUCAAAAUGAAUCAAAAUAUCAGACCAGUAAAAUGAUCCAAGUCUUUUUAAUGUCUCAAAAUGUUGAGAUCUUUUGCAACUUUCUUUCUCGUCCGCAAUCUGCUGUUUGCUCCGUAAUUGAAAAAUUAGAAUUGUUCUUAAAGGCAAUACAAAUGUACACAUAUGUUAUAAGACUGGAUAUUACGUCAAAUAGAAAAA